ensembl:snoRNA
AACACCCCCUGCCAGCACCACAGGUGGGGCUGUUCUAGUGUACCUGUGACAUCAGGGCAAACAGCAAGUGGUUAUCUCUGUGCUCAGUGAGCACUAAGAAUGGUUUACAGCCUGACAUUU